UGUUUUAUGGUUUACGAAUUCAGAAUGGUCUGAAUUAGCUUUUGAAGGUAUUUCCUUCAUGUUUCUGUCUGGCUAGUUAGAACCAGUGUCCAGGGGAUUGAUAUUUCUGCUUAAAAUCCCUUGGAUUUUAUGUUUAGAUGUGUGAGUUUGUUCAUGACUUAAAAUAGCCUCUUUUUGAGCAUCAGAAUUUUCCUGAACUCCAUGGUUCAGAUUUUGAAUUAUUUCAUGAUAUGAACUACCAUCUUUCUGAUUUUUUUGAGCAUUUAUAUGUGGAAUUUCAUUAGAUUGCCUAUUAUUAUUGGUUUCCAAUGAAUCCUCAUACGUUUUGCUUUGUUCUAGGUUUUUUUUUGAAAAUUGAGUUUGGAUUGACUCAUUUCUUUUUUUAUUUUUUUAUUUUAAUCUUCCUUUAUAGUCUGAAGAUGCCAUUCUCCUCUCCUUAUUUUUAUCUCAUUAGUUAGUGCCAAAAAUCAAUUCUGUUUUCAGACCUAUAGAUUGAAUAAUCCUUGUGGUUUCCUCUUUCUUUUUGUUUUUUUGUCCUAAUUUUUCUAUUACUUUCUUCUGAAUAUCACAUCUAAAAUUAUGCUUCAUAAGGUAACUGGACCUGGUUUCUAGGAUUUUUUUUAGCUGUUUUAUGGUUUACGAAUUCAGAAUGGUCUGAAUUAGCUUUUGAAGGUAUUUCCUUCAUGUUUCUGUCUGGCUAGUUAGAACCCGUGUCCAGGGGAUUGAUAUUUCUGUUUAAAAUCCCUUGGAUUUUAUGUUUAGAUGUGUGAGUUUGUUCAUGACUUAAAAUAGCCUCUUUUUGAGCUAUUUUGGAAUUUAUAGAUUCAAAAUGGUCUGAAUUAAAAUUUGAAGGUAUUUCCUUCAUAUUCCUAUCUGAAUAGUUAUAAACAAUGUCUAGGGGAGCAUCUGAAUUUUCCUGAACUCCGUGGUUCAGAUUUUGAAUUAUUUCAUGAUAUGAACUACCAUCUUUCUGAUUUUUUUGAGCAUUUAUAUGUGGAAUUUCAUUAGAUUGCCUAUUUUUAUUGGUUUCCAAUGAAUCCUCAUACGUUUUGCUUUGUUCUAGGUUUUUUUUUGAAAAUUGAGUUUGGAUUGACUCAUUUCUUUUUUUAUUUUGGAAUUUAAAUCUUCCUUUAGAGUCUGAAGAUGCCAUUCUCCUCUCUUUAUUUUUAUCUCAUCAGUUAGUGCCAAAAAUCAAUUUCCUCAUUUUCACACCAAUGCAAUUAAACAAUUAUAACAGGCUAUCUUCAUAACGAAAUUCAAGAAAAGAUGAAUAAUCAAAUUAAUCAUAUAUUGUUCUUUAAUUUUCUGUGUUUCUAUUUUCAAGUACCAUCUUGCUGAAUAGGACUUCUUAAUUUUUCUCUAGAGUUGUAUGAAUGGUUUAAAUCAAUUAGGGUCACAUUGAACUUCUUUACUAGGACCUCUCAAUUUUUUUACGAUCAAGAUAUUAUCCUUUAAAUUUAUGUAGUAUUAUGCUUUAAAAAGUAGCUGUAAAUUUCUCAUAAUUUUAUUUGGGAUUGUAUGACUGGUUUAUAUCAAUUAGUGUGUUAUUUUCUUAAAAAAUAUCCAGCUGGUUUGAUGUUUCAUUCUCAGUGUCUUUAGUGUUUAGUGUUGAUUCUAUUUGUUGAAGAGUCUUGAUUUUGAGAACAUAAGUUUAGAAAAGGAUAUAUAGUGUUAUUAGAACAUAAUAUCGAGUCUCUUUAGAUAUAUAAGUUCCCAAUUCCUAAUAUUUUUAAAAUCUUUUAGAUUUUCGAUUGCUAAGACAUAUAAGUAAGUCUUAGAGUUCAAUAAAACUAAUG
rnacentral:lncRNA from 1 species